rnacentral:rRNA from 1 species
AGUGAACGCUGGCGGUAGGCCUAACACAUGCAAGUCGAACGGCAGCACAGUAAGAGCUUGCUCUUACGGGUGGCGAGUGGCGGACGGGUGAGGAAUACAUCGGAAUCUACUUUUUCGUGGGGGAUAACGUAGGGAAACUUACGCUAAUACCGCAUACGACCUACGGGUGAAAGCAGGGGAUCUUCGGACCUUGCGCGAUUGAAUGAGCCGAUGUCGGAUUAGCUAGUUGGCGGGGUAAAGGCCCACAAAGGCGACGAUCCGUAGCUGGUCUGAGAGGAUGAUCGGCCACACUGGAACUGAGACACGGUCCAGACUCCUACGGGAGGCAGCAGUGGGGAAUAUUGGACAAUGGGCGCAAGCCUGAUCCAGCCAUACCGCGUGGGUGAAGAAGGCCUUCGGGUUGUAAAGCCCUUUUGUUGGGAAAGAAAAGCAGCAGGUUAAUACCACGCUGUUCUGACGGUACCCAAAGAAUAAGCACCGGCUAACUUCGUG